AUGCCUGUGUACCCUGGGCCUUCCAAAUUGCCUUCAUGCUUAUGUUCAGAGCUCUGCAGUGCCAGCAAAUGAGCAGCUAAGCCAUCGUAUGCAAUCACAUUUCUCCUGAAGAGCAGAUUCAGCUCCAGUCUACUCAAAUGCUCUUACUUGCUAACGUAAACCACAACGCAUGUCUUGUCCUCUGUAAAACAUGGAACCUGGCUUCCUCUUUCCUCAAGCAGGCUCCAUCGUGUUCUCCUUUCUGACCAGAAGUGUUCUCUGCACUUCAGUCUUCUUUCCAAACUACAAGCGGACCCUUUGAGUGUCUGUCUCCAUAUGCUUAACUAUCUGUCCCGGUUAAGGAAUUGAUGUAUCACCGAAGGACUUAUGCUCCUAUGAGGUGAAACUCAGCUUAUUUUUUCAAAGUAAUACUGAUAGAAAUGUGCCUAUUCCCUUCUUCAUGGAACUUCCUUACCAGAAUCGGUUGAUUGUGGUUUGCAGUGUGUAAGAAGAUGGGUGUGGAGAUAGAUGUCAAUGCAAAGCUGAGUAGGAAGGAAAAGAUAAAGGACAAAACACUGCUGAGCACAGUGGAACAGAAUUCACUGAAGUGAGUGAGGGACAGUCAGGAGGACUUCUGCCUCAAGGCUGCGAUUUCCCAU
ensembl:lncRNA